rnacentral:rRNA from 1 species
UACGUAGGGUGCGAGCGUUAAUCGGAAUUACUGGGCGUAAAGUGUGCGCAGGCGGCCGCGCAAGUCGAGUGUGAAAGCCCCGGGCUUAACUUGGGAAUUGCGCUCGAAACUACGUGGCUGGAGUGUGGCAGAGGAAGGUGGAAUUCCACGUGUAGCGGUGAAAUGCGUAGAGAUGUGGAGGAACACCAAUGGCGAAGGCAGCCUUCUGGGCCAACACUGACGCUGAGGAGCGAAAGCGUGGGGAGCGAACAGG